rnacentral:misc_RNA from 1 species
GUAGGAGCUGGCUUGCCAGCGAUAGCCAUUUGACAGUCAGCAUCUGUGCUGACUGAUCCUCCGCCAUCGCUGGCAAGCCAGCGCCUAC